GAGAAGCGGAAGUCGGGCGUCACCGCAGUGCUGGGGAGUGUGAAGCGAGAGGAGGAGCGUUUGUGGCCUCAGCGUCUGUCAACAGAACCCUCUUCACCUGUGGUUAAGUCCUGAGCUCAUGCUCCUCUCCUGAAGGACGCAGACCUGACUGCUGAAGGCCUGCAGCACUCACUGGGGGCUUCAGGGAGCCCUGAGUCCCCUCCACCCUCGCCUCCUUCUCCUGGGUGCCCAGGAAAUGUCUCCAAGGGAGGCUGUGACCCAGGACCCCGGCUCGACCUCACCUUCUUCUGUAAGGCGCAGUGAAAGACGAAGAUGAAGACCCCCUGGAAGGCGUUGAAGGUGGUGAAGAGAUAGGCCAUGACCACCGAUUCCUUAUUGAUAAAGAGGAGGCCGAAAGCCCAGGUGAGACCCAGCAGGAACAGCAGGGCGAUGGCCCCCAGGGCCCAGGAUCUGGCGGUGGAGAGAUGGGGUGUCAAAGUACCCGCCGGAGGGGACGGCCUCAGCCUAGGCCUCCCCUGCAGCCAAUAAGUGGGGGCCGUUGGGUGGGCCUGGGCACUGUCUGCAAAGCCCUAACCCAGCAGGGCAGGUGAGUGGGCCUUGAGGGCAGUACCCUGCCCAGGACGCCUCCACCCCAGCCUGGGCCUGAGGGUUUCCAGACAACUUAGGCUACAUCUUGCUGCCUAUUUCUCUUUAAGUUGCCCUUAAACAGACUCACCUUUUGAA